UACGUAGGGGGCAAGCGUUGUCCGGAUUCAUUGGGCGUAAAGAGCGUGUAGGCGGCCAGGUAGGUCGGUUGUGAAAACUGGAGGCUCAACCUUCAGAGGUCGACCGAAACCAUCUGGCUAGAGUCCGGGAGAGGAGAGUGGAAUUCCUGGUGUAGCGGUGAAAUGCGCAGAUAUCAGGAAGAACACGCGUGGCGAAAGCGGCUCUCUGGAACGGUACUGACGCUGAGACGCGAAAGCGCGGGGAGCGAACAGG
rnacentral:rRNA from 1 species